UCGAGGUUACACCCUAGUCGCAACAACGGUGCUUACAGCUAAAAAUGACCACAAGCUAACCCAUGAGCUGAUACCUGUCGUGAACACUAAGCAAAAUAGUAAUACAUCACGUGUGCAGAAGGUAAGUUGAUAAGAUACUGUAAAAUUGGAUACUGAAAUAAAGUCAAAACAUGUCUGAAAUAUCUAAUAAUAACUGAUAACACUAAAAUGACUGAUUGAUGGUCUAACUAAUUGCCUGG
rnacentral:lncRNA from 1 species